rnacentral:rRNA from 1 species
AAUGAACGUUGGCGGCGUGGAUUAGGCAUGCGAGUCGUGCGAGAACCGUAGCAAUACGGGGACAGCGGCGAAAGGGAGAGGAACACGUGGAUACCUACCCUCAGGUUCAGGAUAGCUAUGGGAAACUAUAGGUAAUACUGAAUGAUAUCUCCGGAUCAAAGGUGUGAUUCCGCCGGAGGAGGGGUCCGCGUCCUAUUAGCUAGUUGGUGUGGUAACGGCCCACCAAGGCAAAGAUGGGUACGGGGUGUGAGAGCAUGAUCCCGCUCAUUGGGACUGAGACACUGCCCAGACACCUACGGGUGGCUGCAGUCGAGAAUCUUCGGCAAUGGGGGAAACCCUGACCGAGCGACGCCGCGUGUGAGAUGAAGGCCUUCGGGUUGUAAAUCACUGUCGUAGGGGAGGAAAUAUUGGUGGGUUCUCCCAUCAGUUUGACCUAUCCUAGGAGGAAGGACGGGCUAAGUUCGUGCCAGCCGCCGCGGUAA